UGAACCUGCGGAGGGAUCAUUACUGAGUGAGGGCCUCCGGGUCCGACCUCCAACCCUUUGUGAACCAAUCUUGUUGCUUCGGGGGCGACCCUGCCGCUUCGGCGGUGCGGCGCCCCCGGAGGCCAUCAAACACUGCAUCAUUGCGUCGGAGUAAAAGUAAAUGAAACAAAACUUUCAACAACGGAUCUCUUGGUUCCAGCAUCGAUGAAGAACGCAGCGAAAUGCGAUAAGUAAUGUGAAUUGCAGAAUUCAGUGAAUCAUCGAAUCUUUGAACGCACAUUGCGCCCUCUGGUAUUCCGGGGGGCAUGCCUGUUCGAGCGUCAUUUCACCACUCAAGCCUGGCUUGGUAUUGGGCGUCGCGGUGCCGCGCGCCUUAAAGUCUUCCGGCUGAGCUGUCCGUCUCUAAGCGUUGUGGCAACUAUUCGCUUCGGAGGCCGGGCGGCCGCGGCCGUUAAAUCUUUCAC
rnacentral:sRNA from 1 species